AAUGUAGUCAAAAGUUGGCUAAAAAAGAAAUGUCUUGACAAUAUCCUACGUUUUUAAAUUUAAUUUUUGGAUUUUAUUAAUAUCAAAAUAAAACAUGAAAAAUUAUUCUUACAUUUAUGGACCAACCCAUUAUAAAAUCUAUAAAUGAAAAUUGGGCUUCUGCAAUUUUUAAAAAAAGAUCCAGCCCAAAUCAUAAUUUCGUAUGACAUAUAAUCUCCCCUAGGGUUUCAUAAUCAAUUUUAAUGUCUUCUUCUCUGCCGUUUUAGCUCAUUUCCAGGUGAAAAAUUUCUUGCCUUCCCCUGAAUCCUCAAUUCAUCAGGCUUCUGCUUUGGAUUAUCAAUAUUCUACCUUUGAUCCUCAAAGAUUGUACUAUCUUUAGCUCUCAAAAGGUGAUAGGUCCUUGAGGCUGAUUGCAUGUCCAAGUAAGCUUUAAUUUCUUCUUCCUGUCCUUCUUCUUUAGCUGUAGUUUCUCCUUUACUCUCAUUUGAUUCCAGAUGUAGCCGGGAAGAAUAUAAUGGGAUGCUCGAACUCACAAUCUUUUGACCUGUCUUCUGCUUCUCAGGUGUAUUUGUUGCAUAGAUGUCACUCGACCCUCCCCCUUUACUAAGAAUCCUUUUUGAUGGCUGAAUCUAUAUAGACUAGUCAGCUAUAGGGUGUUGUUGUUGCCUCUUGGAUUGUAAAUAUUUUUUUUGUGGUGUCUUGUAGUACUUCUAGUUGUAACCUUUAGCCUUAUCAUCUUUUUGUUGAUGAUAAUCUAAUGUAUGGACACUGUGACUUGUCAUUGUUAAGGAUCUUCUUUCCUUGAAUUUCCAA